CUCCCACCCCCACCGCUGCUGGAAACAUUGAAAGACAUCUCAGCAAAACGAAGCUGGGCUAUAACGAGAGGGGGGUUUUCCUGAGCACGAACCAGAGGCCAGCAGAAUCUCAAUCAAUAUUCAAAUGCCAGAUGAGCUUGGCACCCCCAGAGGCCAUGUGUGGAAGAUGGCACAGCCACAAGAUGCAAGGGACCAGGAGCUCUGAAUAAGCACUUGGAGAAGAGCCACCUGCCAAUACAUCCAUUUUUGGACUUCAUAUGCUGGGUGAAGAAGGGAAUGAGACAGAAAGACUAGGCUUAGAGAAGCUGGUUAAGGAGGCUGCUGCAGUGAUCCAGGUGGGAAAUGGACCCAGAGCUGUCAACAGGGAUGGCAAGAAGUGGACAGAUCUGAGGCCUGGUUGAUGAUGGGCUGCGAGGAAAGAUGUGGGAGAUGUGGGGAGACAAAGGUCAUUCCUUGAACAUGCAGGUUGAAAUGACCAAGAAGUUUCCAGCUAGAGAAACAGACUUGUGAGUCAGCAGCAGAGAGAACCAAUGCACUCUCCCAGGAAGAGGGGUAAAUGGUGAGAAGAAAAGAGGGACUGGAACGGAACCCCAGAGGACCAGGGAGAGCUGCGCCCCAAAGGGACCAAGAAGAGCUGGUCAGAGAAGGAAGAGAAAGACCAGAAGCGCACAUUGUCAAGAACAUAAAGAAUGGUGGCUAGUAAGAGUCAACAUGUGUAAGAGGGUCAAAUUCUGGGAGAUGUAUUCACAGGCCACUGGUAACCUUGGCAGGGAAGAUGGGGUCAGUGCCUGGGGCGGGGCUGAAGUGGUGGUAAGAGCAGAUACCAUCUAACAGGGGCAACUAUUCUUUAUCUAUUUGUUUGCUCAUUCAGUAAAUACUUUAUACAUGAAACAGGGUGCUGUGUUCAGAGCUGUGGAUAAGAUGCCAACUCCGGAGGCCUUCACCCACUAAAAGGAGACAGAUAAUCUCGCCCACAUCACAAAACGAUGAGAUAUAAAUGCUAGAAUGAGGCUGGGUGCGGUGGCUCAUGCCUGUAAUCCCAGCACUUUGGGAGG